UCGGACGUGGUGCACGGUACAUGCCCGCUCUAUCUGCCCACUGUAAAAGCUGAUGGCGGGAGCCCUGGGUUCGAUUCCCGGCGUCCGAA